CAUCAGACCCUACCUAUCAAUGGAAGAGGGCAACAUGGGUGUUCCCUAGCGGCUCAUUACAGCAACUCCUCUCUCAGCUCAGGCAGUGCGCAGUGUAACAGGACAUGAGCAAUUGGGCUCCCUACAGAAUCAGAAUUGCCAGUGCCACUGCUGCUCUGGCUUCUCUCAACUUGGCCAUUGGGAGAUAUUUUGACUUGUUCACGUUUGAAAAGUAGAAAGGGAAUGGCAAGUAUUAAAAAGACAGUGGGAAGCUGCGGAUGUUGAGUUAUUCCACUUUUUUUUCUUUGUUUUUUUUCCUUCUCUCUUGAGGAACUGUGAUGAUUCUUUUUAAUCUGAACCCUCCAAGAAAAUUAGAAGGCCAAGUACACGAUUAUAGUUUUUAAUUUUUUUUAGAUAAGCUAAGCUUGUUUGCCUAUCCAGGUCAAACAAUCUGGCUUUUUUGUUUUGUUUAAUUUAGAUCUAAAUUAAUUUAAAUAGAUUAAUUAAAAAUAUGUUUGGGAUGCC